GAUGAACGCUGGCGGCGUGCCUAAUACAUGCAAGUCGAGCGAACAGGCGAGGAGCUUGCUCCUCUGACGUUAGCGGCGGACGGGUGAGUAACACGUGGAUAACCUACCUAUAAGACUGGGAUAACUUCGGGAAACCGGAGCUAAUACCGGAUAAUAUAUUGAACCGCAUGGUUCAAUAGUGAAAGACGGUUUUGCUGUCACUUAUAGAUGGAUCCGCGCCGCAUUAGCUAGUUGGUAAGGUAACGGCUUACCAAGGCAACGAUGCGUAGCCGACCUGAGAGGGUGAUCGGCCACACUGGAACUGAGACACGGUCCAGAAUCCUACGGGAGGCAGCAGCAGGGAAUCUUCCGCAAUGGGCGAAAGCCUGACGGAGCAAAGCCGCGUGAGUGAGGAAGGUCUUCGGAUCGUAAAACUCUGUUAUUAGGGAAGAACAAAUGUGUAAGUAACUAUGCACGUCUUGACGGUACCUAAUCAGAAAGCCACGGCUAACUACGUG
rnacentral:rRNA from 1 species